GUCAAAUAAGUCUUUCUUUUGCUUAGGAAGGUUCCUAACUGAGUGAAAUGACCCAGAAGUAUCUAAGUGACAGCCAUGAUAAGAGCUGGUCGAAUUCUCUGAAUGCUAAAGAAAGGUGCUUCAAUGCUUCCUUUCUUAUCUCCUUUAGCAAAGGGUACACUGGCCCAC